GAUGAACGCUGGCGGCGUGCCUAAUACAUGCAAGUCGAGCGAACAGACGAGGAGCUUGCUCCUCUGACGUUAGCGGCGGACGGGUGAGUAACACGUGGAUAACCUACCUAUAAGACUGGGAUAACUUCGGGAAACCGGAGCUAAUACCGGAUAAUAUAUUGAACCGCAUGGUUCAAUAGUGAAAGACGGUUUUGCUGUCACUUAUAGAUGGAUCCGCGCCGCAUUAGCUAGUUGGUAAGUUAACGGCUUACCAAGGCAACGAUGCGUAGCCGACCUGAGAGGGUGAGCGGCCACACUGGAGCUGAGACACGGUCCAGACUCCUACGGGAGGCAGCAGUAGGGAAUCUUCCGCAGUGGGCGAAAGCCUGACGGAGCAACCCCGCGUGAGUGAUGAAGGUCUUCGGAUCGUAAAACUCUGUUAUUAGGGAAGAACAAAUGUGUAAGUAACUAUGCACGUCUUGACGGUACCUAAUCAGAAAGCCACGGCUAACUACGUG
rnacentral:rRNA from 1 species